UACGAAGGGGGCUAGCGUUGCUCGGAAUCACUGGGCGUAAAGCGCACGUAGGCGGCUUUCUAAGUCAAGGGUGAAAUCCUGGAGCUCAACUCCAGAACUGCCUUUGAUACUGGGGAGCUCGAGUCCGGAAGAGGUGAGUGGAACUCCGAGUGUAGAGGUGAAAUUCGUAGAUAUUCGGAAGAACACCAGUGGCGAAGGCGGCUCACUGGUCCGGUACUGACGCUGAGGUGCGAAAGCGUGGGGAGCAAACAGG
rnacentral:rRNA from 1 species